GGGCUAUCUGGAGAUGAGGCUGGAUCUACGGCACUCCCCUGCCCGGUGUCCUCUUCGUCUGCCAUUUUCACAGGCUGGUCUGCAGCUGUGCCUACAACAACCACACUGAGAUACUCUGAUACUAUACUAUUGCCUGUGCAUGAAAAUGACUGGAUGGACAUAUUUCACGUUGGCGGAUCUCUGCUAACAUCUAGAGGACAAAUAAGGUAUAGGCUAGGUCCUAGAUCUCGUUCUGUAGGUCAUGUCCUAGCUACUGUUUUAUUAUUAUUAAUAAAAUUUGAAAAGUAAGCAUGA